rnacentral:tRNA from 1 species
AUAACUUUGGCAGAGCAUAAUGCACUUAAUUUAGGAUUAAAAUAUACCUUCCCGGUAAGUUACU